UCAUGGGAAAAUCUUGUUAUUGGAAAAAAGGUAGUGAAAGCCAUUGUUAAACAUCGAGUAUGUGGAACUUGCAAAUGGUGGUCCAGAAAUCGUCCAAAUGCACCUGUUCGACCGCACAGAUGUGUAAAAAACCAUCAAGGGAGUGCACGUAUGAUGGAAAGUACAGGUGGACUUCAAGGGGUGAAAGAACUAAAUGAAAGUGGUACUCCAGUUGAAUAUUUAGAAGGUGAUGGUGACAAUACUUUAAUUGCAAGGCUUAAGAGUGAUUUGAAUAUUUCUAUGAAAAAAAUAUUUGACAGGAACCACAUUGUCAAAAACAUUGGUAAAAGCAUGUUUGCCUUACAAGAAAAAAAACUUAGUAGAGCAGUGAUAAUGCACAUUCAAAAAUGUUUAAAGUACAUCUUCGCAAAAAAAUCAAGGGAACAGAGAUGGUAUGGAGGAGAACUUGAAAGCGCUAAUCCCCCACCAAUUUGGUGAUCAUUCGCACUGUAAACCCCACUUUUGUGGCUUCAAACACAAUCCGAACGAAGUGUAUCCCCAUCGCAGCCUUCUCUACAGAACAUCUUUGAAGGAUGCUGAUUUGCGUACAAAACUUGAAAAACUGUUCGCACCAGUCAUUUCAAAUGUUGAUCAAUACUGCGAUCUAGGAUCCAAUCAGCAAUGUGAGCAUGCCAACCGAGAAGUUACUUUACGUGCUCCAAAGUCCUUGCACUACGGAAACUCUGAGUCUUUGGAUUUCCGAGUGAUGGCCACAUCAGCUUUCAUCAACGAGGGUCGGAAGUAUAUUUCCCAGGUUACAGUUGGUUUGAGUUGCCUGGUGUUUUUUACAUUACAGUCCAUUCCAAGAAAAACUCUUAAUUGUUCAGACUAUUAGAGCACAUACAGAAGCUGGAAUAUCACCCGGAAGAUAUACAGAAGCAUAUGCGGAGAAGCAGCUGAAGCACCAACGCUAUGUACAGGAGAAAGCAAAGCUACCAUCCCAGAAAAGGAGGAGACUUGU